rnacentral:lncRNA from 1 species
CAUUUUAGCAUUCUGGAACUGCCCUCUGUGGUUCCUUGAAGACAGAUGGGAAGAAAACUGCCUUUCAGGACUAUAUUUGUCACUGUCAACGUUAAAAGCUUACACACUAGGAUAUUCCUUCAUUGUAUGCACAAGAGCAAAAUACAUAAUAGUGUCAGUGACUCACAAAAACUGAAAAGCAGCAGUACAACCAUGGAGUUCUCCUUCAAUGAAAAAAAAAUGUUUAUUUUCUCUCUGGAAUACUCCAACUCCCUGGCUCAGUUUAGUCCAGUAUUCAAAUGUCUAAUAAUUCCAUACAACAUUUUAGUUGUUGUUUCUUCCAUCAUCUUCAAGGUUGUACUAAUACUGUUUUAAACAAGAUAUCAGAGCUUUAGUGUCCUCUACGAGCUACAGUGCAAAGAGAAGCAGAGUAAAUUUCUUCUGUAAUACAUUUGCAGUAUUUAAUCUGGAUUCAUAUUAACUUAAAAAAAAUAAAUCAACAAAAAAGCAUCA